ACCCGCUGAAUUUAAGCAUAUAAGUAAGCGGAGGAUAAGAAACUAAAUAGGAUUCCCUUAGUAAUGGCGAAUGAACAGGGAUGAGCUCAACAUGGGAAUUGGAGCUUCUGGCUCUGAAUUGUAAUCUCGAGAUGCAUCGCUAACGGCGGCGCAGGUGUAAACCUCUUGGAAAAGAGAAUCAGUGAGGGUGAGAAUCCCGUCUGUCACCUGCAGUCCUCUGUGUACGGCAUGCUUUCUAAGAGUCACGUUCCUCGGGAUUGGAGCGCAAACUGGGUGGUAAAUUUCAUCUCAAGCUAAAUAUGGGUUCGAAACCGAUAGCAAACAAGUACCAUGAGGGAAAGAUGAAAAGGACUUUGAAAAGAGAGUUAAAAGUGCCUGAACUUGCUGAAAGGAAAGCGGAUGGAACCAGUGUUGCUUGGCGAGAUUGUCGUAUGCUUCAGUGAUUGCUCUUUGCAUUAGCGCAAGCGGUGCUUGGGGUUUUUGAUCUGGCUGUGUGCGAUGUUUCUUGCCUUGUGUGUCAUCGCCAGUGUGGUGGUGUGGAUAACUCCAGGGACAUGGUAGCUUGUCUACGGGCGUGCGAAUGUGCUUGGUAGAACUCACCAUUGUACUGCUAAUCUGAUGUGAGGUCGUGCGGUGUCUAUUGCAACUGGGCGUUGAGGUUCUCCUCGGCGCUCCGUCUGUAAGCGGUGCCCCUUCCUGACUCAACUACGGUGACAAAAUGGUUCCAUUCGACCCGUCUUGAAACACGGACCAAGGAGUCUAACAUAUGUGCGAGUUCUUGGGUGUUAAACCUACGUGCGCAAUGAAAGUGAUUACUGAGAUAUUAGCAUCAGCAGCCGACCGAUCAAUUGGGAGAGGUUUGAGCAUGAGCAUAUCUGUUAGGACCCGAAAGAUGGUGAACUAUGCCUGAG
rnacentral:rRNA from 1 species